GCUGUUCGACGUAAUGCUCCCGCCGAGAGGCUCACAUCUCUUUGUGUCUUAUGCCAAGCGUUAUCGUCUCCCACCGGAGGCAUAUUUUGAUGAUUUGCAUCAACGAGGCAAGUAUCGCUUGUUGUGCAUUAACUGUAGAUGUCCACGAGUCCGUGGCGUUGCCUGUUCUGACGGUCCUGUCAGCCCUACUCAGCAAUUUAAGUAGGUAAGUUAGAAUUUGGAAAGAGGUACAAGGAAGUAUAUACGGCAAUGCAAUCCAAUGCAACACGUAGGGCACUAGCAAUCUUUUUGACAAUAUUGUUCUAGCGACUGAAGGAGAGUAAUUCACGAGAUGGGAAUGUGUUGCUUCGAUCUUUUGUGUGUUUCUGUGCUGUGCUGAAUUGAUAGUUGUGUCUUGCAGUUCUGUUCCGUAAUUAUGCUUCCAACCAUGUUUUGUACCUUCUGUAUGUAUUUCCUCCACAGUGACAUGCCUAAAACAGCAAGCUGGUCUCCCAUUUCCUGUGAGGUUCCCUUAGUAACAAAUUUGUUUACUACCUACAGUUUGUUAAUCAGGAAAAGGAAAAAAUGUGAGAUGUGUAUGCGUACUGUGGCUGGUUUAGUUGGUACAUUGGUGUCUGUCAAUUGCUUGAUAGGUGUUCCCAUGUUUUAGGGACCCACGGGGUUUAUAUAGAGAAUUUUAUUUUGCUUUCCAAAGUGUUCUCGUGCUUCUGGUCUUAACCUUUUGUACCUGUGUCAUUUUCAGAGACUGCUUAGUACUGUUUUUUUAUGUGCAACUGCAUAGUACUCCCUCUGUUUCUUUUUAGUCUGCAUAUAAAUUUGGUCAAAGUCAAACUUUGUCAACUUUGACUAAGUUUAUAGGAAAAAAUAUCAAGAUAAACAACAUGAAAUCAAUAUUAUUAGAUGCAUCAUGAAAUUAAUUUUCAUACCAUAUAGCUUUAGUAUUGUAGAUGUUGAUAUUUUUUCAUAGAAAGUUAGUCAAACUUUAUAAAGUUUGACUUUGACCAAAUUUUAUAUGCAGACUAAAAAGAAACGGAUGGAGUACUGUUGAGGAACCAGAAAGCUUCAUUGGUUGAAUCAAUUCAUAAUAUGGCACCUUUAUCUUCUGCUAAAUGCCGUGAUGCUAGAAGAUUUAUUGUUGGCGACCUCUGUAUGUUGCUCUACAUGUUUGUAUGAAUGGGUUUGUACAUCUGUUCAUGUUACAAGCCUACACCGCUACAAGGCAGCAUUAUAAGAAGUAAACAACAGACGACAUGAGAUAUGAGAGUUUCUUAAAUUAUUACCUUAUUUUUGUCAUGGCAUUGCUAUGUGCGGAGAGGUCUUCUUGCCGUCUUGGUUGGGAAAAGCUGGCAUCGGGUUAGAUAUUCCUCUCUGUCUGGUAACAUAUACUCUCACAUGCAAC
rnacentral:lncRNA from 1 species